rnacentral:rRNA from 1 species
GACGAACGCUGGCGGCGCGCCUAACACAUGCAAGUCGAACGGAGCUUGUUUUUCUGAAGUUUUCGGAUGGACGAAGGAUAAGCUUAGUGGCGAACGGGUGAGUAACGCGUGGGUAACCUGCCUUUUAGAGGGAGACAACAGUUGGAAACGACUGCUAAUACCGCAUAAGACCACGGUACCGCAUGGUACAGUGAUCAAAGGAGCAAUCCGCUAAAAGAUGGGCCCGCGUCUGAUUAGAUAGUUGGUGGGGUAACGGCCUACCAAGUCAACGAUCAGUAGCCGGACUGAGAGGUUGAUCGGCCACAUUGGGACUGAGACACGGCCCAGACUCCUACGGGAGGCAGGCAGUGGGGAAUAUUGCACAAUGGGGGAAACCCUGAUGCAGCGACGCCGCGUGAGGGAAGAAGGUAUUCGUAUUGUAAACCUCUGUCUUCGGGGACGAUAAUGACGGUACCCGAGGAGGAAAGCACCGGCUAACUACGUG